CCAUAGACACUCCCAGGGUUUCCUGGGGAUAACUGCCCUUCCUCCACAGGCCCUGCAGCCCGCCGCCUCAUACUAAGCACACAGAGGCGUCUGGGGCCUGCAUGAGUCUGAACCGCCAGAGGCAAGCAGGAAAUGGGACAUAUAGAGUGACUGUCAGCAGGGGCUUGGGACCCAAAAGGGGAUGCUUUUCACAGCCAACCAGAAAAUGAACUUAAAGCCCUCAAUCCCUGAGCCAUUCUUGUUUGUCUUGUUUUCUCUUGAGACAGGGUCUCACUCUGCCACCCAGGCUGGAAUGCAGUGGUGGGAAGACAUGAUUAAAUGAGCAGGUACAACAGGCCAAGUGCAGGCUGCAGGGAAAAGCAAGCAGCAUCUCCCACCCCAGGGUGUCAACAGAAGGCUCCCAGAAGAAAUAGGUCAAAACCCGAACCCAAAGUGGGGAGUGUGCCUGGCUCAGCUAAGGAACCCAAACGAAUUGAAUUC
rnacentral:lncRNA from 10 species